AGGUGAAAUUUGGUUUCUGAGUGUGCUUAAUUAGAAUUAUAAGAGUUUUGUAUCUAUGGAAACUUAAGUAUAAACCAGGAUUAGAUACCCUGUUAUUUUUAGUUUUAAAUUGAUAGUUUAAAUAGUAAGCAGUUAUGAUCUUGAAACUUAAAGAAUUUGGCGGUAUUUUAGUCUAGUUAGAGGAACCUGUUCUAUAAACGAUAUUCCACGAAUAAUCUUACUUCUUUUAGCGAUAAAGCAGUUUGUAUACCUCCAUUUAUCAGAUAAUUUUAAAAGAAAUAUAUCAAAAUAAUUGAAUCUUGGAUUUAAAAAUUUAGGUCAAGGUGCAGCUUAUAGGGGAGAGAGAAAUGGGUUACAUUAAAAUGAGUUUAAGGCGGAUAAGAAGAUUUAAUUUUUCUUUAAAGAUGGAUUUAAUAGUAAUUUUAUUUUAAUAUGGUAAUUUGAUAUUAGCUCUAAAAUAUGUA
rnacentral:rRNA from 1 species